rnacentral:rRNA from 1 species
CAAGUCGAACGCGAAAAGGGGGCAACCCCUGAGUAGAGUGGCGAACGGGUGAGUAAUACAUCGGAACGUGUCCAGUAGCGGGGGAUAACCUCUCGAAAGAGAGGCUAAUACCGCAUACGACCUACGGGUGAAAGAGGGGGAUCGUAAGACCUCUCACUAUUGGAGCGGCCGAUGUCGGAUUAGCUAGUUGGUGGGGUAAAAGCCUACCAAGGCGACGAUCCGUAGCUGGUCUGAGAGGACGACCAGCCACACUGGAACUGAGACACGGUCCAGACUCCUACGGGAGGCAGCAGUGGGGAAUUUUGGACAAUGGGCGAAAGCCUGAUCCAGCCAUGCCGCGUGAGUGAAGAAGGCCUUCGGGUUGUAAAGCUCUUUCGGCGGGGACGAAAAGGUGCGCGAUAACACCGCGCAUCCAUGACGGUACCCGCAGAAGAAGCACCGGCUAACUACGUGCCAGCAGCCGCGGUAAUACGUAGGGUGCAGGCGUUAAUCGGAAUUACUGGGCGUAAAGCGUGCGCAGGCGGUCUGCUAAGACAGGUGUGAAAUCCCCGGGCUUAACCUGGGAACUGCGCUUGUUACUGGCAGGCUUGAGUGUGGCAGAGGGGGGUGGAAUUCCACGUGUAGCAGUGAAAUGCGUAGAGAUGUGGAGGAACACCGAUGGCGAAGGCAGCCCCCUGGGCUAACACUGACGCUCAUGCACGAAAGCGUGGGGAGCAAACAGGAUUAGAUACCCUGGUAGUCCACGCCCUAAACUAUGUCAACUGGUUGUCGGGGAAGCAAUUCCUUGGUA